rnacentral:rRNA from 1 species
GACGAACGCUGGCGGCGUGCUUAACACAUGCAAGUCGAACGGAAAGGCCCCUUUGGGGGUUCUCGAGUGGCGCACGGGUGAGUAACACGUGAGUAACCUGCCCUUGACUUCGGGAUAACUUCAGGAAACUGGGGCUAAUACCGGAUAGGAAUCCUUGCUGCAUGGUGGGGGUUGGAAAGCUUCGGCGGUUUUGGAUGGACUCGCGGCUUAUCAGCUUGUUGGUGGGGUAGUGGCUUACCAAGGCUUUGACGGGUAGCCGGCCUGAGAGGGCGACCGGCCACAUUGGGACUGAGGUACGGCCCAGACUCCUACGGGAGGCAGCAGUGGGGAAUAUUGCACAAUGGGCGGAAGCCUGAUGCAGCAACGCCGCGUGCGGGAUGACGGCCUUCGGGUUGUAAACCGCUUUCAGCAGGGGCGAAGCUUGUGGUGACGGUACCUGCAGAAGAAGCACCGGCUAACUACGUG